GGUGCCUGCAUAAGUAAGACCGGUACUGAAGUAAGAGCAUCAUGGGGUGCCACUUGGGUCAUUUUAAUCGGCUUGGCAAUGUCCGGUGGCGGGGCAUAUCUCAUAUACAAAUACAGAUUAAGGUCAUACAUGAAUUCUGAGAUUAGGGCUAUAAUGGCACA